GUGCAUUCAAAACUGGGGGACUAGAGUACAGGAGAGGGAGGCGGAAUUCCUAGUGUAGCGGUGAAAUGCGUAGAUAUUAGGAGGAACACCAGUGGCGAAGGCGGCUUUCUGGACUGACACUGACGCUGAGGCUCGAAAGCGUGGGGAGCAAACAGGAUUAGAUACCCUGGUAGUCCACGCUGUAAACGAUGAAUACUAGGUGUAGGGGGUAUCAACUCCCUCUGUGCCGCAGCAAACGCAAUAAGUAUUCCGCCUGGGGAGUACGGCCGCAAGGUUGAAACUCAAAGGAAUUGACGGGGGCCCGCACAAGCAGCGGAACAUGUGGUUUAAUUCGAUGAUACGCGAGGAACCUUACCCGGGCUCGAACGGUGCAGGAAUAUGGUAGAGAUAUCAUAGCUAGCAAUAGUCUGUAUCGAGGUGCUGCAUGGUUGUCGUCAGCUCGUGCCGUGAGGUGUCGGCUUAAGUGCCAUAACGAGCGCAACCCUUGUCAUUAGUUACCAUCAGGUCAAGCUGGGGACUCUAAUGAGACUGCCACCGUAAGGUGAGAGGAAGGGGGGGGAUGACGUCAAAUCAGCACGGCCCUUAUGUCCUGGGGCGACACACGUGUUACAAUGGGGGGUACAGAGGGCAGCCAUCCGGCGACGGAGCGCCAAUCUCAAAAACCCAUCUCAGUCGGAUUGGGAGUCUGCAACCCGA
rnacentral:rRNA from 1 species